rnacentral:rRNA from 1 species
AGAGUUUGAUUAUGGCUCAGAAUCAACGCUGGCGGCGUGCCUAACACAUGCAAGUCGAACGAGAAAGUGGAGCGAUCCAUGAGUAAAGUGGCGUACGGGUGAGUAACACGUGACUAACCUACCCUUGAGUGGGGGAUAACUUCGGGAAACCGAGGCUAAUACCGCAUAAUACCUUCGGGUCAAAGGAGUAAUUCGCUUAAGGAGGGGGUCGCGGCUGAUUAGCUAGUUGGUAGGGUAAUGGCCUACCAAGGCAAUGAUCAGUAUCCGGCCUGAGAGGGCGCACGGACACACUGGAACUGAAACACGGUCCAGACUCCUACGGGAGGCAGCAGUGGGGAAUUUUGCACAAUGGGGGAAACCCUGAAUGCAGCAACGCCGCGUGGAGGAUGAAGUCCCUUGGGAUGUAAACUCCUUUCGACCGGGGCGAUAAUGACGGUACCGGUAGAAGAAGCCCCGGCUAACUCUGUGCCAGCAGCUGC